rnacentral:rRNA from 1 species
CGAUCUCGAAAACCUGUCCCAGUUCGGACUGGAGUCUGCAACCCGACUCCACGAAGUUGGAUUCGCUAGUAAUCGCGCAUCAGCCAUGGCGCGGUGAAUACGUUCCCGGGCCUUGUACACACCGCCCGUCAAGCCAUGGGAGCCGGGGGGCGCCUGAAGUCCGGGACCGCGAGGACCGGCCUAGGGCGAAACUGGUGACUGGGGGCUAAGUCGUAACAAGGUACC